rnacentral:rRNA from 1 species
UACGUAGGUGGCAAGCGUUGUCCGGAAUUAUUGGGCGUAAAGCGCGCGCAGGCGGUCUCUUAAGUCUGAUGUGAAAGCCCACGGCUCAACCGUGGAGGGUCAUUGGAAACUGGGAGACUUGAGUGCAGAAGAGAAGAGUGGAAUUCCAUGUGUAGCGGUGAAAUGCGUAGAGAUAUGGAGGAACACCAGUGGCGAAGGCGACUCUUUGGUCUGUAACUGACGCUGAGGCGCGAAAGCGUGGGGAGCAAACGGGAUUAGA